GGCUGGUCUGAAGGUAGUGAGUUAUCUCACUUGAUUGUUUACAGUCAGCUACAGAUUGAACUCCUUGUUCUAUUACUUUAUCUCUUCCUCACUACUGCACUUGAUUAGUCUAAA
rnacentral:Y_RNA from 1 species